rnacentral:rRNA from 1 species
GAUGAACGCUAGCGGAAGGCAUAAUACAUGCAAGUCGAACGGUGUAGCAAUACACAGUGGCGCACGGGUGCGUAACACGUAUGCAACCUACCUUACAUUGGGGGAUAGCCUUUCGAAAGGGAGAUUAAUACCGCAUAAGACAGUAACUGGGCAUCCAGUAGCUGUUAAAGAUUUAUCGAUGUAAGCUGGGCAUGCGUCCAAUUAGUUAGUUGGCGAGGUAAUGGCUCACCAAGACGAUGAUUGGUAGGGGAACUGAGAGGUCAAUCCCCCACACUGGCACUGAGAUACGGGCCAGACUCCUACGGGAGGCAGCAGUAGGGAAUAUUGGGCAAUGGGCGCAAGCCUGACCCAGCCAUGCCGCGUGCAGGAAGAAGGCGUUCUGCGUUGUAAACUGCUUUUAUACAGGAAGAAACGACCCUUGCGAGGGGCAUUGACGGUACUGUAUGAAUAAGCACCGGCUAACUCCGUGCCAGCAGCCGCCGUAACAC